GUAAUGCUUUAAAUCUUUUUCAGCACAUGUAUGUGUUUCUUCCAUGUGAUGUUUUGGUCUUGAAAAGUGGAAACUGAUAUCUACAGGGGAAAACAAACAGCUCCUACAAACCCCUAAUGGUGAAUUUUGAAUUGGACCAGAACAACUUGUUCUGAUGUCAAAGGAUCACAACUUAGAAGCCUCGCAGCAAUACAGGGGGGAGUUUUCAAUCUUGAAUCUAUCCUAUGGUUCGAGGAUUGGCGAAUUUUCCAAAGACAAACGUAGAGAAAGGUAUCCAUGGUGAUGAGGAUGACAUUGUAAAUCGUAAGAAUACAUAUUCUCGUAAGAAAGGGAAAGAUUUUCUUGUAUAGGAAGUUCUUACUAAUUUUGGUGGCCUUUUGAGUUU